GUGUGUAGAGGGCUGUGGAUCAGCUGUCCUACCUGGGUGAAGAUGGAUAAAUAAAGCCUGCAGCUUCUGUGGCCUGUGCCUCCCAGUUGGUCCCAACUGAGACCCAGGGUCUGAGCACUCCCUGGAAAGAAGCUCUCCACCUGCUGGAAAGAAACAACAACAAGAACAAGAACAACAGCAUCCUAUCCUCAGUUCCGGUUCAGAUAUUGAGUUUAUGCAUCCAUCUUAACUAUACCUUCAAUCUACUUUCAUGCUCAAUAAGCAAGAGAAUUUCUCAGGAAAUAAGGCUGAGAGAAGCUAACAGAAUUGAAGAGACUAUGUACUAUUGAAGAUUCUCCAGUGCUUUUACUUUAUGUUCAGUAACACCUUACUGUUAGCAAGAGACAAGACUUUAUCAGGACUACAAG